AAUCAACGCUGGCGGCGUGCCUCAGACAUGCAAGUCGAACGCGAAAGUCCCCUUCGGGGGACAAGUAGAGUGGCGCACGGGUGAGUAACACGUAGGUAAUCUACCUUCGGAUGGGGAAUAACAACCGGAAACGGUUGCUAAUACCGCAUAAUGCAGCGGCACCUAAUGGUGACAGUUGUUAAAGCGGGGGAUCGAAAGACCUCGCGUCUGAAGAGGAGCCUGCGGCGGAUUAGCUAGNGGUGAGGUAACGGCUCACCAAGGCGACGAUCGGUAACCGGCCUGAGAGGGCGAUCGGUCACACCGGAACUGAGACACGGUCCGGACUCCUACGGGAGGCAGCAGUGGGGAAUCUUGCGCAAUGGGCGAAAGCCUGACGCAGCAACGCCGCGUGGAGGAUGAAGGCCCUUGGGUGUAAACUCCUGUCGGCUGGGAAGAAGUUGUUCGCGACUAAUACUCGCGGACAUUGACUGUACCAGCAAAGGAAGCCCCGGCUAACUCUGUGCCAGCCGCCGC
rnacentral:rRNA from 1 species